rnacentral:rRNA from 1 species
CCCUUAGAUGUUCUUGGCCGCACGCGCGCUACACUGAUGCAUUCAACGAGCCUAUCCUUGACCGACAGGUCCGGGUAAUCUUUGAAUCUGCAUCGUGACGGGGAUAGAUUAUUGCAAUUAUUAAUCUUCAACGAGGAAUGCCUAGUAGGCGCAAGUCAUCAGCUUGCGUCGAUUACGUCCCUGCCCUUUGUACACACCGCCCGUCGCUCCUACCGAUUGGGUGUGCUGGUGAAAUGUUCGGAUCGGCCGUUUGUCGCGGUUUCCGCGUCAUGUGGCUGAGAAGUUCAUUAAACCCUCCCACCUAGAGGAAGGAGAAGUCGUAACA